UGGGUCUGCAGUGGGUACGGGCGAGCUAGAGUGCGGUAGGGGAGACUGGAAUUCCUGGUGUAGCGGUGAAAUGCGCAGAUAUCAGGAGGAACACCGGUGGCGAAGGCGGGUCUCUGGGCCGUAACUGACGCUGAGGAGCGAAAGCAUGGGUAGCGAACAGGAUUAGAUACCCUGGUAGUCCAUGCCGUAAACGUUGGGCGCUAGGUGUGGGCCGCAUUCCACGUGGUCUGUGCCGCAGCUAACGCAUUAAGCGCCCCGCCUGGGGAGUACGGCCGCAAGGCUAAAACUCAAAGGAAUUGACGGGGCCCCGCACAAGCGGCGGAGCAUGCGGAUUAAUUCGAUGCAACGCGAAGAACCUUACCAAGGCUUGACAUGCAGGGAAAUCCUCCAGAGAUGGUGGGUCCGCAAGGGUCCUGCGCAGGUGGUGCAUGGUUGUCGUCAGCUCGUGUCGUGAGAUGUUGGGUUAAGUCCCGCAACGAGCGCAACCCUCGUUCGAUGUUGCCAGCGGGUGAUGCCGGGGACUCAUCGGAGACUGCCGGGGUCAACUCGGAGGAAGGUGGGGAUGACGUCAAAUCAUCAUGCCCCUUAUGUCUUGGGCUUCACGCAUGCUACAAUGGCCAGUACAAAGGGCUGCGAGACCGUGAGGUGGAGCGAAUCCCAAAAAGCUGGUCUCAGUUCGGAUUGGGGUCUGCAACUCGACCCCAUGAAGUCGGAGUCGCUAGUAAUCGCAGAUCAGCAACGCUGCGGUGAAUACGUUCCCGGGGCUUGUACACACCGCCCGUCACGUCACGAAAGUCGGUAACACCCGAAGCCGGUGG
rnacentral:rRNA from 1 species